AAACUAACAAGGAUUCCCCUAGUAACUGCGAGUGAAGCGGGAAAAGCUCAAAUUUGAAAUCUGGCUGUCGUAUGAUAGUCCGAGUUGUAAUUUCGAGAAGUGUUGCCCGUGCCGGACCGUACAUAAGUCCUCUGGAAAGGGGUAUCAUAGAGGGUGACAAUCCCGUCUUUGGUAUGGACUCCCGGUACAUUGUGGUAUGCUCUCAACGAGUCGAGUUGUUUGGGAAUGCAGCUCAAAAUGGGUGGUAAAUUCCAUCUAAAGCUAAAUAUUGGCGUGAGACCGAUAGCGAACAAGUACCGUGAGGGAAAGAUGAAAAGAACUUUGGAAAGAGAGUUAAACAGUACGUGAAAUUGUCAAUAGGGAAACGCUUGAAGUCAGUCGCAUUGCUCAGGGAUCAGCCUUCCUUUUGGUUGGUGUACUUCCUGAAUAAUGGGUCAGCAUCAGUUUUGACUGCUGGAGAAAGGUUUGGGGAAUGUGGCUUCUUCGGAAGUGUUAUAGCCCCAGGUCRUAUACAGUGGUUGGGAUUGAGGAACUCAGCACGCCGCAAGGUAGCUCCUCGGAGACUUUCGUGCUUAGGAUGCUGGCAAAAUGGCUUUAAGCGAC
rnacentral:rRNA from 1 species